rnacentral:rRNA from 1 species
UAUGUGAUCGUCUCUCGCAUAUCAAUAAGCGGAGGAAAAGAAACUAACAAGGAUUCCCCUAGUAACGGCGAGUGAAGCGAGAAGAGCUCAAAUUUGAAAUCUUAAAGGGUUUCCCUUUACGAAUUGUAGUUUAAAGAAGUGUUUCCUGUUGAGGUUUUGGUAAAAGUUCUUUGGAAUAGGACAUCAUAGAGGGUGAGAAUCCCGUAUUUGACCUUUACUUUCAACUUUGUGAUACACUUUCAAAGAGUCGGAUUGUUUGGGAAUGCAGUCCAAAAUGGGUGGUAAAUUUCAUCUAAAGCUAAAUAUUGGCGAGAGACCGAUAGCGAACAAGUACCGUGAGGGAAAGAUGAAAAGAACUUUGAAAAGAGAGUUAAACAGUACGUGAAAUUGUCAAAAGGGAAGCGUUUGACACCAGUGUUGUUUUUCUGAAAAUCAAUUAAAGAACUGUUUAUGCUAAGUUGUUUAGACUUUAUCAGCUAACUGUUUAGUUUUGAGCUUUUCUUUAAUGCACUUUUCAGUUAACAAGUCAACAUCAAUUUCUUUUGCUGUAAAAAAGCUUGAGGAAGGUGGCUUGAGAUUCGUCUUAAGUGUUUAUAGCCUCUUGCCUAUGCAGUCGGAGAGAUUGAGGUCUGCAGCGUAGAUCCUUCGGGGCUAAAUGCAUUUGUGCUAAGUUAUAGCAUUUUAUAGACAACUUGUUGACUAUGAUUUGUCUUGUAGCUUACUCGCUUAUGUUAUUUUACCUACGCUUAGGAUGUUGAAGAUAUGCGCGACACG